rnacentral:lncRNA from 10 species
GUGGGGAGGACAAGAAAACAUAAGUUUUUGCUGCUCUUGAGAAAAAGGAUGCUAAAAUGCUAACGUAUCGUCAUUAACAGUGCAGCCCCUGCUGUUCAUUUCAAAACUCAGCGCUACACUACAGUAGUUUAUAAUACACCUCAACUAAAUGCUUGGCAGAACACAGAAGAUUCAUUUCACUCAGAUUCAAAAGUAUUUCAUGUGACACACACACACACGCGUGCACACACGCUCACUCAUGCUCUCUCUCCCCUCUGCAGCUGCUGGAGUAGCAAGCUGACAGCUGACAGCUGGGCAAUGGGCCCAGGAGUCCCAGAAUUGGGGUCCGACCCAGCUGCCUCCUCCUCCCUGAGCCUCUGCAGACCCAGACCAGCACCUGGGGUUGGCAGUGGAGCGGGUCUGCCCCACUCUGGGUCAGUCUGCCUGCUUCCCUGAACUUGCCACCUGAGGACCUUGGCUGUGAGAACCAGGGGGAAGGCCGGCGGCUGCCCUGGCCCAGGCAGAUUUCCAUUCAACUGGACUUCAGGGCCUGGGAGGAUUCACUGCAUUCUAACAGCUUAAGAAACUGUCUACCUCUUUAUAUUACUGGGAAAGAAUAUUCACAUUACAAAGGUAAGAAUUUAGUGUCUUCGAAACGUGUAGAAAUCUUAACAUGGGAGCAGUGUGAAAAGAAUGGCAAGACGGAGAGAGGCUGCUUCAGAAGGCCCCAGCAGAGCUGGCGACCUGCAGACAGACAAAGGUGGUGCAGCUGGGAGGCAGACCCCGGGCUCCACCUAGGAUAGAGGAUGUGUGAUGUGGCUCUGUGUGUCUUUACAGAGGAUGGGACCACUGUAAAGACAACUGCUAAAUGAUGAGACAGCCCAAGGGGCUCCCACAUCCCAACAGGGACCUGGUGCUGGUGGCUGACACAUGCACAUCACACCAUGAACAUGAA